UACGAAGGGAGCUAGCGUUGUUCGGAAUCACUGGGCGUAAAGCGCGCGUAGGCGGACUAUUAAGUCAGGGGUGAAAUCCCGGGGCUCAACCCCGGAACUGCCUUUGAUACUGGUAGUCUCGAGUCCGGGAAGAGGUGAGUGGAAAUUCCGAGUGUAGAGGUGAAAAUUCGUAGAUAUCAAGAGGAACACCUGCGGCGAAAGGCGGGUUGCUGGGCCGACACUGACGCUGAGGCGCGAAAAGCUAGGGGGGAGCGAAACGGGG
rnacentral:rRNA from 1 species